rnacentral:lncRNA from 1 species
GUUUGUCUCUGUUGUGUUGAAGACCAAUCAAGCAGGAGAGACCAGCCUCCCCUGUUCCCAGCUGUGUGUCCAUGAAGAGUGACCAGUCUAUGGAUCAUCCAAUGAAGUUUAGAGAGGGAGACUUUUCUACUGAACAAAGAAACCAACAGGAGAGAUCAGAGUCAGAGAUUCUCAGUGGUCAGUCUUCCCAGAGUCAUCAAACAGACCUGGACUCUAUAUUCAGUUUGCUUGAAGAGAAAAUGAUUACAUUUGUGAAGAACGAGCUGAAGAUGUUCAAGAGGAUUCUUAGUCCAGAACUCCCAGA